rnacentral:rRNA from 1 species
GAUCAUGGCUCAGGAUGAACGCUAGCUACAGGCUUAACACAUGCAAGUCGAGGGGUAGCAGGGUAGCAAUACCGCUGACGACCGGCGCACGGGUGAGUAACACGUAUCCAACCUCCCCAUAACUCAGGGAUAGCCUUUCGAAAGAAAGAUUAAUACCUGAUAGUACUUUUUCAAGGCAUCUUGAGAAAGUUAAAGAUUUAUUGGUUAUGGAUGGGGAUGCGUUCCAUUAGAUAGUUGGUGAGGUAACGGCUCACCAAGUCUUCGAUGGAUAGGGGUUCUGAGAGGAAGGUCCCCCACAUUGGUACUGAGACACGGGCCAAACUCCUACGGGAGGCAGCAGUGAGGAAUAUUGGUCAAUGGGCGAGAGCCUGAACCAGCCAAGUAGCGUGAAGGAAUGAAGGUCCUAUGGAUUGUAAACUUCUUUUAUAGUAGAAUAAAGUGAUCCACGUGUGGAUUUUUGUAUGUAUACUAUGAAUAAGGAUCGGCUAACUCCGUGCCAGCCGCCGC